rnacentral:tRNA from 1 species
GGGGGAUUAGCUCAGGUGGUAGAACGCUCGCUUAGCACGCGAGAGGUGGUGGGAUCGACACCCACAUUCUCCA